rnacentral:tRNA from 1 species
UGCUGAGGUAGCAAAGCUCGGUCCACCGCGCCGGCCUUGAGAGCCGGUUCUCCGUAAGGGGAGCGGGAGUUCAAAUCUCCCCCUCAGCGA